AGGUGGCGAAGAAAUCCUGUGCUUCUUCUCACUCAAGGAAGCAUGGGCAUGGUACUUCCCACCACUGCUCCGAUGGUCACCACCAUGAGCAUGUAUCUGCAGGUAAGCAUUCUUCUUGCCAUGAUCAUCACCAUGAGCAUGAUCACCACAAAGAGCCUAGCAACCUGCAUUCCACAGGCAAGCAUGGCUGCCAUGAUCAUCACCAUGAGCAUGACCACCACAAAGAGCCGAGCAACCUGCAUUCCACAGACAAGCAUGGCUGCCAUGAUCAUGGACAUGGCCAUAGCCACUGCAAAGAGACGAGCAGCCAGAUGGUCACAAGCAAGCAUGUUUCCC
rnacentral:lncRNA from 1 species